CAGCCGCCACGGGAAUACGAAGGGUGCAAGCGUUAAUCGGGAUUACUGGGCGUAAAGCGUGCGUAGGCGGUUUGUUAAGUCUGUUGUGAAAUCCCCGGGCUCAACCUUGGAAUGGCAAUGGAUACUGGCAAGCUAGAGUGUGUCAGAGGAUGGUGGAAUUCCCGGUGUAGCGGUGAAAUGCGUAGAGAUCGGGAGGAAUACCGGUGGCGAAGGCGGCCCCCUGGACAAAGACUGACGCUCAGGUGCGAAAGCGUGGGGAGCAAACAGGAUUAGAUACCCCCGUAGUCCCUGUCUCUUAUAC
rnacentral:rRNA from 1 species